AUGCCGGUGACUUUGGCGGCACCACCGCUCCCCUCUAAGCGACCCAGGUCACCGUCUAGAAGAAGCACAAACAACCCUCCCGGCCUGAGUUUCUGUCUUCCCGCGGAGCCGCCCCAGGAUUGGAGACGCCCCCUCCCCAAGUCCACAUCCUCUGCUCGGGCCACAGCAAGGACAGUGGACCUUGGCGCCCGCCACUCUGGCCUGGGGUCCCCUCCAUCUGCGCACUGCGGGGUCCCGCUCACCUCACCCGCAGCCCUGAGUCACCAGACGGCAGCGGACACAGACAGAGACUGUUUCACGUCUGAAAUGCCACACGCUGACAUUUUACAGGGAAAUAAAAUGGCUAGCAAACCGAGAUCCUCCUCUUGAGACGUUCCUUUCGAAACUACUUUCAACAGUCAAUGUCCUUAGAAUUUUACCUGGUCUUCCUUCUUUUAAAUUUUGCUUCCUGAUCUGUCAGUACAUGUCAAGAAGCGUGGGAGAAACGACACACUCCCAGAAGUUGUGGAAUGUUUACGAGGUGCCAGGUGGAAGGACACAGUCCUUGCUCUCGCAGAGCUCAGCAGCUGUGGGGACUCAGAGGUGAUGGCUCUGAGAAGGAAUAUUCAGGUGUUCCAGAACAAAUGAGCAGGACAGGCAUCUGGCCCUGCGAAGGAUCCCGGAAUGGCUUUACAGGGUUGAGAAGGGGGUCCGGGUCGCUUUGGCUGCUGCUGGUGGCUGGAGUAGAGAAGGGGAAGCCAGCCAGGCAGCUACUGGAGUGCUCAGAUAUUGAAGGCAGGGCUUUCGGAGCCUGGAGAAAAGAAAAAGCUCAAAGAUGACUCCUUGGUCUUCUAUGGAUGGCCUGAGCAGGUGGUUGAAAAGUGGUUUCAUCUUCAAUGCGCAGCCUGUGGGGUGGCUGGAGAGGUGGCAGAGAAGCUGAGAAUGUGUGUCCUAGGCUGUGAUAAAAGUGUGUUUCCAGUCAGAAGGAGCCCUCGGACUGCAAUGUUUGUCCCCCUGGUUUCCUGGGGAGGGAGUCCUGGAGGGAGCUGGCGGCAGCAUGAGGCCUGAAAGGAACAAAGGAAGAAAAGGCAGCAAGGGCAGCCAGCUCUCUCCAGAAGGGCGACUGGGGAGGAAGGAGCCAGGCAGGCAAAAGCUAGGUGGCUCUAAGAUCAGGUGUUAUUUUUUGCUUUCUGGGCUUUAACUGUUUGUUUGUUUUUAGUACCAGGGAUUGAACUCGGGUCCUUGCGCUUGUAAGGCAGGCCACCGAACCGCUGAGCUAAACCCCCAGGCCCUCAAUGAUACAUUUUGAUCCUUAUUUACACCUUUAGUUUUUCACACCAGAGAAACUAUUUGGUAUUACACAUGUGUGUCUUAUUUAUUUCACUUAAGAGUAUGGCCUCAAUGUGCAACCACUUAGCGAUAAAUAUCUCUUGUUCUUUAUGGCUGAGUAGUACUCCAUUUUAUUAAGAAAAAUUUUUUAAAAAUCCACAUCUUCUUUAUCCAGUCUCCAGUUGAUGGGCAAUUAGGCUGUUUAUAAUUAACUAUUACAAACUGUGCCACUAUAAACAUGGGUGUGCAUAUAUCACUGUGGUAUGAUUCUUUUAAAUCUUUUGUGAAGAUACCCAGCAGAGGGAUGGCUGGGUCAAAUGGGAUUUCUCAUCCCAGUUCUUUGAGGAGUCUCCAUAUUGAUUUCCACAGGGGCUGCACCAGUCUGCACUCCCACCAACAAUGGAGAAGUGUUCCUUUCUCCCCACAGCCCCACCAGCAUUUGUUAUUGGUUGAUUUCCUGAUAGCAGCCAUUCUUUGUGGGGUGAGGUGGAAUCUCAGUGUUGUUUUCCUCUGCAUCUCUCAGUGACCAGUGAUGUGGAACAUUUUUUCAUAUGUUUAUUUGCUGUUUUUACUUCUUUGUCUGAGAAAUGUCUGUUCAUUUCAGAUGCCCAUUUUUUGGAAUUGUUUGAAAAUUGCUUGAAUUUUUGAAAUGUUUGGUGGGUCUGAUUCUUUUUAGCUCUUUAUAUAUUCUAGUUAGUAGACCUUUUCUGAGGAGCAGCUGGUUAUUUUCACCCAAUUCAAACCCUUCUUUCUCCCAGUGUGCUUACUCUCUCUCAGUUGUUUGCCUUCCAUGGGCAUCUGCUUUCUGAGCCCUUCUUCCUCCCUAAAGUAUCACCUGAGGGCCUGGGAGCACGGACAGGGUGAGGGGUGAGCUUGCAACGCAGAUUGGCUGUGUUCGUGUUGCUAUGCCUUGGCUCUCCUACCUCACAGCCACAGCGAAUGAGAGUAUAACAGCCCACAUCUGUGUUUGAGGUCAAACUUCCCUUGCCUAUUUCAUCUAAAUUCCAUCUUUCAGCUUCUCUAUAAACUUCUAUAGCCUAGCACCAAGCUCCUUUCAACUUGCCUACAAACUGGUGCCAGGCUCUCCCCUUCUCCAGGGGUAAUGCAGGUUCACUGAAACCAUGGUUAGCUGGUGAUGGAGGGCAUUAACAUCUUCCCUGGCCAUCCAGUUAACCACUGAGUCAGAACCACAUGCAUACAUCUCAAGACAAGCAUUAACUCUCAGCACACUCUGGAUCAUAUUUAAAAGAAUACCCAAUAUUUUAAUAACAGCAUUAUGCACGAUUUCCACCAGGGAUGUUAUUAAUGGUUGAAUAAUCAGCUUUCUGGGGGUAAAUGUUUAAGUAAGCUGAGUAUGGUGGUUUUUAACUGUAAUUCCAGCACUCUAGUAGUCUGAGACAGGAGGAUUCAAGCCCAGCCUAUGGGCAACUUAGUGACUUAUUGAGACCUUAUCUCAAAAUUUCAAAAAAAAUUUUUUUUUAAGAGAUGAGGCUAUAGCUCAGUGGAAAAGCCCCAGAUUCAAUUUUCAGUGCUGCAAAAAAAAAAAAAG
ensembl:lincRNA